AUUUUUUCACGUCACUAAUCAAUAUUUUCCAGAUACGCCGGACUCGACUCGAAAGACAGCGCGCAGACUGUUUGGUGCGAGAAGAGGCGGACCUCAGACGGUGUGCAGUCACCCUUUAAAAAAUAUA
ensembl:lincRNA linc-2 ncRNA